AGUGGACUACAAAGACCAUCAGCACAGGCUGGUUGUCCUCCAAUGUGAUGGUGGUGAGAGUCUCCUUUAAGAAACCUGGAGGAAGACAUGACCAUGUUGGUGAAAAGAGAGAGAGAGAGAGAGGACGGGGAGUAUUCACUCGUUCUUCAGCCUUCUCAUCUGUUAAAGGGACAGUUUUUGUUUUUCUCUCAGGAUGUCUGAAGGUGAAUCAGCAGGACCCAAACUGAUUUCAGUGGACUUUGAGAUCUUCGGACAUGUUCAGGGAGUCUGUUUCAGAAUGUACACGGAGAAGGAGGGUCUGCGGCUCGGCCUGGUGGGCUGGGUGAAGAACACCUACAGUGGGACGGUGGUGGGACAGGUCCAAGGUCCUGCUGACAGCGUGGAGGAGAUGAAGGUGUGGUUGAGUAAAGAAGGAAGUCCAACCAGUCGCAUCACCAGAGCCUGUUUCAGCAACCAGAGGACCAUCGACCGGCUGGAGAUCUCCGGCUUCAGGACUCGCUUCUGAACAGCCAAUCAAGCGAGCCCACCAAGAGCACAAACACUGAGAGCCGCGUCUAGUGUUCAUGACAGACUGGAGAUGCACUUUGAGCCCGGGAGGUCACUUCCUGUUGGCACUAAAGUGAUGUGAUGCUGGAAUGAACAAGUGGAGCUCGUGUGUGAUGAUUCAUCAGGGUAGGAGGUUCAUGAAGACGGAGACAACGCUAAAGUGCCUGAGCAGAGAGCUGCAGGGUUUGAGUCUCAGGGAGGAUGUGGUGGACAUAAGAGCCCGGUCAGCAUUAAAUGUCUCCUCACACAGAGUGCCUGAUGGCAAAGGUGUUCCCGCCACUCUUAUGUCAGAUCAUCACCGAAAAGAUGAAAGGAUUCUUCUAACAGCACAUACUCUUUAUUGAUAUAUUCAUUCUGUCUGAUCACACUCGUCCCCAACUUCUCAGAGUCAGGGCUGUUUGGCAUCAUUCUGUCUCUGCAGACUCUCCCCUCCUCCUCCUCCUCCUCCUCCUCCCUGCUUUGCUGAAUCUCCACCUCUCACUCAGGCUUAAGGAGCGCUUCAUUUAUUUCUCUCUGCAGCCUGAAAGGGUGGAGACAUUCACGUGGAACAGAUGGACCCUAAAAGUGCACUGUCAC